rnacentral:rRNA from 1 species
GUCUAUGACCAUACCACCCUAAAUAUGCCUGAUCUGAACUGAUCUCAGAAACUAAUCAGGGUCUGGCCUGGCUAGUACUUGGAUGGAAGACAGAUCUUCAGAAAAGAUUGCUCAGAGACA